AUUUCGGGUGUACCUAUCCUAGACAGACCCAACCCCUGUGUUGAGUCUCCAAAGUCAAAAUGCACAUGAUGCAAACAAAUGUUCCUACUAGGGAUCCGGCAUGAGGCUGUGUUUUUCUAGGUUUAAAUCCUGGGGUUUUGGUCUAGACUUGGGAUACCCGAGCGGACAACUGGGGCCGAGGAGGGGGCGACGUACCGGGAGCACUGAAGUCUAACCGCCUUGUCGCUUGCCCAGCCUCGUUCUACUUGGUAUAAUUUCUACAGAAAAAGCAGGCUACGCGAACGUAUGCACCAUUUUCAGAAGACUCGGAUGGGUGGCGUAAGAAGACAGUUAUAUACAAUCCAGACAAUAUUAAAGCGAUAAACAGAUAGUACUUAGCACAAAAAGUUUCACAGAAUACAGUAAUAUCAACAAUAAAUAAAGCCAAGCAAAAUCAUAUUAAUAAGCUCGAAUUCUGAACCCUGAACCAGAGAUUCUGGGUUCGAUCCCCAGCAGAGUCGCCAGAGCUGUCACACCUCCUUUUUACCUACACCACUGGAAGGGUAUAAAUAUAAGGGAAUUUUUCCAAUUAAAGGACAAUCGAAACGGGAUUGUUUAUUUAUUUAAAAAUCAGAGUCGCCACUUGGGAGAUUUAUGGUGUCCCAAGUCACCGGUUCAAAUCCCGAAUCGAGGAAAAGGAUUGACUCUGUUUAACAGUCCGCGAACCAGAAAUCCGGGUAAGGAAUUCUGUUAACCCGGGAGAAGGUAUUAGGCAUUCCCGAGUCCCGUGGUUCUAGCACGGUCGCUUUGAUCAUACUUGGCUUAUUAAAUUUGUCUAAUUACUGACUUUAGAUCUUAUGUGCAUUUAUCUAUUAACCGCUUUAAUCACUUGAUUAUUCGUAAUUAAAGAAUUGAGUUACGCAUACGUAUACACUUUUUUUGGCGCAUUAAAAAUCAUGUCACGCGAACGUGUCCACGAUUAAUAACGCUUGUUUAUUUAUUUAAGAAAAAUUGAUUGAAGUUGCGCGAACGCAUCCCUCGAGUCUUUUUAGAAUUAAAUUUGCAAUCAUAUUACGCGAACGUAUAUAUUAUCACAAUACUAACCUAAACCGAGCCUAAAGCAAACUAAUGAAGAGGCACAUCAUGAUUGGAUACAUCUCUCGUCGACCAAUUUCAACCGAAAUAGCAUCAGCCUUAGCAAAGAAGAAUAAGCAAAAACAAAAAGAAAACAACUUCCUAGAAACAAGCCAACCGUACAUAUGGAAAUUAAAUCUAUUAACUAUGGUAUCAUUUACAAAGACCAUUAAUACACUAAAUGCUAUAAUUAUGUUUACUCUUAGAAAAUAUAGUCCAUAAGCUAUUAACUACACAUUCUCUUCUGGAAAAAUUGAUUUAUUGUGGUUAAGCAAAUCAUUAAAUAAACUUAUAAGCCAUGUCCAGUAUUUGCACUCUCCAUAAGUGAUGUUAAUACUUUUAUUUCUUUCUUCAGAGCAAAGUGUCGAAACAGAUCAUGUCAAAGAAAAUUAGGCACUUGUCAAAUUUUUCCAAUUUCACAACUAGACUAGUUUCAGUCAAACAGGACAAACAAAUGGAAUAUCAGUAAAAUUCACGAGAAAAUUGCAUCACAGACUAGUAUAUAAACUAGCUCACAAACAUCUUCUGUUAAUGAAAUAAGGAGUAGUAAAAAUAUGAACCUGUCAAAACUUUCAAUUAAAUCUUUGGCGAAUUACAGCAGUUAAAAUGAGCGACGAUGGCAAAACACGACCGGAAAACUUGAAUAGCAACUCCACAAAAACGAACACCCUCUACGGCUUUCAAAUCGAUACUCAUGGCAUGAUCGGGUCUGGACUCCGCUGAACGAGUGAUGGAGAAAUGACUGUGUUUGUCUAUUUCGGAAAGGACCGAAAGUGAGAGUGACAAAUUGGACUUGAAACUUCUCGGAGCUUACAACGAAGAAGAAAGGGAUGGCGGGUUUUUGCUGUUUCCAAAUUCUGAUUUUGGACCUAAGCACUUCGAAACCGAUUGAGCAAAGCUUCUCAAAGACCCAUGGCUAACGCGAGGUCGAAAACGAGAACGAGAGAGAUCUGUAAGGAUGUCAAUAUAGCCGAUCUCCCUCUCUUACACACGCAAUGUUGCUAUUGAUUU
rnacentral:lncRNA from 1 species